rnacentral:rRNA from 1 species
UACGUAGGGUGCAAGCGUUGUCCGGAAUUAUUGGGCGUAAAGAGCUCGUAGGCGGUUUGUUGCGUCGGCUGUGAAAACCUGAGGCUCAACCUCAGGCCUGCAGUCGAUACGAGCAGACUAGAGUGUUGCAGGGGAGACUGGAAUUCCUGGUGUAGCGGUGGAAUGCGCAGAUAUCAGGAGGAACACCGGUGGCGAAGGCGGGUCUCUGGGCAGUAACUGACGCUGAGGAGCGAAAGCGUGGGGAGCGAACAGG